rnacentral:tRNA from 1 species
UAAAGAAUUAGUUAACUAAUAACUUAAGCUUGUCAAGCUUGGAUUGCCUGUGCGGCAUUCUUUAG